rnacentral:rRNA from 1 species
GUCAGCAGCCAUAUCACCCUGCAACUCACAACUCAGCAGGUGUGAGCCUGGUCAGUACCUGGAUGGGAGACCUCCUGGAAAAGCUAAGGCUGCUGGAA